UUCUGAGUUCUCUCCCAGCCAUGCCUAAGGAUUCCUUGGUUGCCUGGAGAGGAGGGCAAGGACUUGAAUCCCCCUCUCACCUUAUGAACCACUGGACUUUUGUUUUCCAUCGCAGCAGGAGAUCUCGAGCUUUAAAGUUCAGACAAUGGAAACAAAUAUAUCUCUGCGAACUGUGUACCAAGGAGCUUUGAAGCCCUCCGGAGUCUCUCGAUGAGACAACAUCUACUCAGAGAAGUAUCAGCCACCUGAGACCACAAUUUGGCCUGCAGACAUCGUGACUUUAAGCAUGAUGGGAAGAGUUGACUCAGACAAGCUGGGGUGAGACGCAAGCUGGCUGUAUUAGUAGAACUCCUCAGAGGCUUCUUUCCCUUAUCCCUUAACUGCGGGUUUUCUAGAUAAAACAGUCCACAAAAGUGCUCAUAUUUUAGCCACCUUCUACCUGUUGUGUUUGCAACUGUAAUGUCUAUAUUUACAUACUGCCUCAGCUAAGGUUAUAUUAUAUAGUUUGUUUUAUUCAUUGAAAA